rnacentral:lncRNA from 1 species
CUGGAGUCGCGGCCACCGGCGUGAAGAAACGAGCGGCGGUUACGGUGCUGCACGUCGGGGGGAAGGCGGAUCUGGCAGGGAGGCUGAACGGCGACGGCGUCAGGGCUGAGAUGAGCUCAGAUCUGUAGUCGUCGAGCGAGAUCAGCGCGCGACUGAAGCAGGGGACACCGAGCGUUGGUCGCGGAUGGGUCUCGUGGGUUGCUGGAGUCGCGGCCACCGGCGUGAAGAAACGAGCGGCGAUUGCGGUGCUGCACGUCAGGGGGAAGGCGGAUCUGGCAGGACGACGAUGGCGGAGGUGCAGAGUUGUCGCAGGUCGGUGGGCG